UUUUGUCCCACUGAGAAGUGUUAGUUGCUUAGUCUUGUCUGAGUCUUUGUGACUGUGUGGAGUGGGUUGCCAUUCCCUCCUCCAGGGAAAUCUUCCCAACCCAGGGCUCUAACCCGGGUCUCCUGCAUUGCAGGCAGAUUCUUUCCUGUCUGAACCACCUGAGAGGAGGAUCAGCUAAACCCAUAGAAAGCCCUAGAUUCUUACCAUGUAGUACUUGAGAAUCCCUGAGUCCUGAAAUGCCUCUCUGCAUUAGCAGCUGACUUUAUUUUCAGGGUCGUUUGUCAUGGAGGCAUUCCAAUUUCGUGAUUUCACACGGGUCCUGUGCAUUGACCACUGUUGAGUCAUCACUGCCUCUUUCCCUGAUGACAUCUGAGUCCCCAUCACCUGCUCCCUCCUUUCCAAUGGGCCUCACUCAGGGUCCCUGUCUCAGCCAAGCCAUUCCCGGCCAACCCAUCCCCGACUGUCCAGACCACCGCCCCUGCCCCAACCUCCCCUCAACUUGCUUUUUCUCCGUAGUGUGCCUUUGUAUCUGACACAGCUUACAUUUUAUUGGUGGAUCGUGUUUUUGCCUGCUUCGGGAUUCUUCAGGACAAGAUUUGCUUCAAGCCACUCUCUACCGGGCACUGUGCAGGAGCCUCGAAUGUAAAGGAGAGUCCUUUGUAGCCUGGAGCCCAGGAGCACACGCCCAAGGGAACAGACAAGACCCCGAGGGAACAGACAAGACGCACAAACCCACAGAAGCCAGGGUCAGAGCCCUCUGAAUGAGGUGACUUCAUCUGACCCAGGAAGAGAGAGACCCUUGAAGAAACUGACUUGCUCAAGGUCGCCCAGCUGGCAAGUGGCCUCCUUGGAGCCUGAGCCUGGGGUUCUAGGCCUCUUUUCUGAACAGCCCUUUCUUCAGGGAUGCAGAAAUUUGUUUCAUCUGUAUCCUUAACCUCAACAUGAGUGGAACAUUCCAGGUGGAGAACAGUUUGUGCUGCAGGAUUAUUUGCUCAUCCAAUUAAUCAAGUUCAGUCCACUGGCUCUAACUCACAUUUUUAAAAAUACAUCAGAAUCCAACAUUGUGACUCCCCGUGGGUGCACUAAAGCAAACAUGUGAAAGACCAGUGACCAGAGACUGAGUUUCCCAAAGACACCAGCUGAUGUUGUCAACAAUUUCCCAUCCCUAACUUAUCUUGGCUUCCCCGGUGGUUCAGUAGUAAAGAAUCCACCUGCAAUGCAGGAGACAUGGGUUUGAUCCCUGGGUCAGGAAGAUCCCCUGGAGUAGGAAAUGGCAACCCAAUCCAGUAUUCUUGCCUAGGAAAUCCAUGGACAGAGGAGCCUGGUGGGCUACAGUCCAUGGGGAUUGCAGAGUCAGACACGGCUUAGCAACUAAACAACAGCAAAGCUUUUAUCUAAUUUCAGUAUUGCCCCUCCACACUGGGGGUAACACAAUAUGCCUUUCAUCCAAGUAGUUGACAGUUUUACUGGUUGUCAUUUUACUUAUCCAAGGUUAUGAUAGUUCUAACUAAUGUUUUGUCACUUACUUUAAAAAAUCGAUCAUUGGGCUUCAUAGAUAAAGGCAGGGUAAUGCAGUUUAUAAAAUAACCAAAAUAUGUCCCAUUUUAAAUUCCACCAUUUUAACAAUAACUCUACCACCAAACUAAUAGAUACUAAUAUUUGUGUUGUCAGUGUCUUUUAUAUCCUGUAGGAAAUUAUUCACUGAUAUAAUAAGGAAGAACUAUUUGGGUAUUUCUCUGUGACCCCACCACCACCAUUGCUGUUCAGGGUGAUAUUUGAAGGACUAUUGAACAAGAGGUAGUACUGUGAAUUUAAACAAAGAGAAUCUGUGUGAAGGAAACACAUAGCAAAGAAAAUCUAUAGUUUGCAAACCAAACACAAUUGGAGCACCUGCCCAGAGCUAGCAGAUCACCUCCCCUGGUGUAAUGAACAAUGAUCUCUUCACAUCAGAUGUCCUCUGGAAAGAACGCGGCCCCUGCCUGGACACUAGGCAAUUGUCCGGGAGCCAGCUCGUUCCUGGAAGAGAGCAGGGGACUUGGGUCCCUGAACCGAGCACCAAGAGACAGUCCAGAUGUGGAAUAGUGAGGCUUUCUUUCAUCACAUCACGUGGGCAGCGCUGGGUGGAUGGCGAAGCACAGAGACACUGGGCGCAGGGUGGAAGAGUACUGGGAGCCGAGAAGGAUUCGCAGAUUCAUCCUCCACCCUCGAGAGUCAAAUUUUAGUCUUUCAAACAAAUUGGUCAGGAGAGGAGACCAAAAUGAAGACGAGAAUCUCCUUAAUAGCUUUGAGUUUCUGACGUGCAAUAAUAUUCGUCUAAAGUCUAUCAGAUGCAAUUAGAACCCAGCUCCCCUUGUUUAUGACUUCCCUGGUGGCUCAGAUGGUAAAGCGUCUGCCCACAAUGUGGGAGAUGCAGGUUCGAUCCCUGGGUUGGGAAGAUCCCCUGGAGGAGGGCAUGGCAACCCACUCCAGUAUUCU